UAACAUCCAUUAAAAAAUGUUGAGGAAGUACUGCAUAAUCAAGGAUUCUGUAUACUGACUUAAAAGAUGUUAUCCGUGGUCAGCUGCGGUCCAGAAGCAGAUGAUCUUCCUUCUGACAUAUUGCCAGAAAGUCAGUAGUAGUCUGACACUACAUUACCAAGUCCACACCAUUCAUGUCACUUCAUCUCAUCACGGAGGCAUUUUAUCAUCUCGCAUUAUCAAAAGAACAAGGGUGAUGGCAGCUUGGAAGCUGCGUUGGCAAAGAAAGGUCUGGCCAAGCGAGAAGGUCUGGACAUUUUAAACAGCAGCAAAAACAACAAUGAAAGGAACCAACCCCAGAAUGUUACCUGCUGGGGCAGCGGAUUCUAUUCCUCUGAGCUUCACGUUCCAGCUGCCACAGUUACAGCCUAAAGUGCAGUUAGAUGGAAAGUGCCGGGCUGCCACUUGGAUUUCUUUUGAACAAAAGGCAUCGUGCAGCCACGCAGCCCAUUUACUAGACCU